UGAGGAAUAUUGGUCAAUGGACGCAAGUCUGAACCAGCCAUGCCGCGUGAAGGAUGAAGGCCUUCUGGGUUGUAAACUUCUUUUACCUGGGAAGAAACCCCGAUAUUCUUAUCGGGUUGACGGUACCAGAGGAAUAAGCACCGGCUAACUCCGUGCCAGCAGCCGCGGUAAUACGGAGGGUGCAAGCGUUAUCCGGAUUUACUGGGUUUAAAGGGUGUGUAGGCGGGCUUUUAAGUCAGUGGUGAAAUCUCCGGGCUCAACCCGGAAACUGCCAUUGAUACUAUUAGUCUUGAAUUUUGUUGAGGUAGGCGGAAUAAGUCAUGUAGCGGUGAAAUGCUUAGAUAUGACUUAGAACACCAAUUGCGAAGGCAGCUUGCUAAACAAAUAUUGACGCUGAGGCACGAAAGCGUGGGGAUCAAACA
rnacentral:rRNA from 1 species